rnacentral:rRNA from 1 species
UGGGGAAUAUUGGACAAUGGGCGCAAGCCUGAUCCAGCCAUGCCGCGUGAGUGAUGACGGCCUUAGGGUUGUAAAGCUCUUUUCUCCGGGACGAUAAUGACGGUACCGGAGGAAUAAGCCCCGGCUAACUUCGUGCCAGCAGCCGCGGUAAUACGAAGGGGGCUAGCGUUGCUCGGAAUCACUGGGAGUAAAGGGCGCGUAGGCGGCGUUUUAAGUCGGGAGUGAAAGCCUGUGGCUCAACCACAGAAUGGCCUUCGAUACUGGGACGCUUGAGUCUGGUAGAGGUUGGUGGAACAACGAGUGUAGAGGUGAAAUUCGUAGCUAUUCGCAAGAACACCGAUGGCGAAGGCGGCGAACUGGACCAGUACUGACGCUGAGGCGCGAAAGCGUGGGGAGCAAACAGG